rnacentral:rRNA from 1 species
UACGAAGGGGGCUAGCGUUGCUCGGAAUCACUGGGCGUAAAGCGCACGUAGGCGGCUUUCUAAGUCAGGGGUGAAAUCCUGGAGCUCAACUCCAGAACUGCCUUUGAUACUGGGAAGCUCGAGUCCGGAAGAGGUGAGUGGAACUCCGAGUGUAGAGGUGAAAUUCGUAGAUAUUCGGAGGAACACCAGUGGCGAAGGCGGCUCACUGGAGCUGGUAUUGACGCUGAGGUGGCGAAAGCGUGGGGAGCAAACAGGG